rnacentral:rRNA from 1 species
CCUACGGGAGGCAGCAGUGGGGAAUAUUGCACAAUGGAGGAAACCCUGAUGCAGCGAAGCCGCGUGAAGGAAGAAGGAUUUCGGGAUGGAAAGCCCUAUCAGCAGAGGAGAAAAAUGACGGUACCUGGCUAAGAAGCACCGGCUAAAUCCGUGCCGGCAGCCGCGGUAAUACGUAUGGUGCAAGCGUUAUCCGGAUUUACGGGGGGUAAAGGGAGCGCAGGCGGCACGCUAAGUCGGAUGUGAAAACCCGCGGCCCAACCGCGGGAGUGCAUUUGAAACUGGCGGGCUGGAGUACAGGAGGGGUAGGCGGAAUUCGUAGUGUAGCGGUGAAAUGCGUAGAUAUUAGGAGGAACACCAGUGGCGAAGGCGGCCUGCUGGACGGAGACUGACGUUGAGGCUCGAAAGCGUGGGUAGCAAACAGGAUUAGAUACCCCAGUAGUC